rnacentral:rRNA from 1 species
GAUGAACGCUGGCGGCGUGCUUAACACAUGCAAGUCGAACGAUGAAGCCCAGCUUGCUGGGUGGAUUAGUGGCGAACGGGUGAGUAACACGUGAGUAACCUGCCCUUGACUCUGGGAUAAGCCUGGGAAACUGGGUCUAAUACUGGAUAUGACUUCUCAUCGCAUGGUGGGGGGUGGAAAGAUUUAUUGGUCUUGGAUGGACUCGCGGCCUAUCAGCGUGUUGGUGAGGGAAUGGCUCACCAAGGCGACGACGGGUAGCCGGCCUUGGAGGGUGACCGGCCACCCUGGUACUGAGACACGGCGCAGACUCCUACGGGGGGCAGCGGGGGGGAAUAUUGCACAGUGGGCGCAAGCCUGAUGCAGCGACGCCGCGUGUGGGAUGACGGCCUUCGGGUUGUAAACCGCUUUCAGUAGGGAAGAAGCGAGAGUGACGGUACCUGCAGAAGAAGCGCCGGCUAACUACGUG